GUUAUAGGGUCAAGUGACUAAGAGCAUGUGGUGGAUGCCUUGGCGAUUACAGGCGACGAAAGACGUGAUAGCCUGCGAUAAGCUUCGGGGAGCUGGCAAAUAAGCUUUGAUCCGGAGAUUUCUGAAUGGGGAAACCCACCCGCAAGGGUAUCGCAUGAUGAAUACAUAGUCAUGCGAGGCGAACCGAGUGAACUGAAACAUCUAAGUAGCUCGAGGAAAAGACAUCAACCGAGAUUCCGAAAGUAGUGGCGAGCGAAAUCGGAACAGCCUUCUAGUGAUAUCUCGACUGUUAGCAAAGUGGCAUGGAAAGGCCAACCAUAGUGGGUGAUAGUCCCGUAUGCGAAAACAGACGAGUGGUACUAAGCUAGAGAAAAGUAGGGCGGGGCACGAGAAACCUUGUCUGAAUAUGGGGGGACCAUCCUCCAAGGCUAAAUACUCGUAAUCGACCGAUAGUGAACCAGUACCGUGAGGGAAAGGCGAAAAGAACCCCGGGAGGGGAGUGAAAUAGAUCCUGAAACCGCAUGCUUACAAAAAGUAGGAGCCCGCAAGGGUGACUGCGUACCUUUUGUAUAAUGGGUCAGCGACUUACAUUCAGUGGCAAGGUUAACCGAAUAGGGAAGCCGUAGAGAAAUCGAGUCCGAAUAGGGCGA
rnacentral:rRNA from 1 species